AUCUCUAAGACCGGAGUGGGCAGGGACCCGGGCCUCUGAGGGGCUCAGGCUCCAGGCCGGAAACUGCACGCGGUGCUGGCGUCAGGCCCGAGGCCCAGCUACGCCUCCCACGGCCUCCCUAAUCGCCAUUCGGGGCUUGCGGGAGCACCUGGGAGGCUCCACCCGGAGCCAGACACUGCCUGCCCCCACGCCCCUCCAGGACCCUCGAAGGAGAAGGAAAUCGGGACUGGCCCAGCGUCCCGUGCUCUAGAAGGCGGGCUACUGCCCCGUCCCAAGCAGGGGAGGAGGACGAGCGAGGGCGUCACUCAUUCUGUCCCCCGCGGAAGGUGGGCUAGCCGCGGAGGGGGGCGCGCAGGGGAGGGGGGCGCGCCGAGGGGAGGGGAGGGGAGGGGUCCACCCCGCCCUUAGGGCCUCCAGCCAUCGCCCGAGAUCAGAGCUCAGGAAUGCGCAGCCAGACCCUGGAGGGUGAGGAAACACCCCUCCGGGAUUCCUCGCAGCGCACCCGACUCUCCGGGCCACACCCAGCCCCUCAGUGUCCUCCCUCGUCCACUCCAGACGCCACACCCAUCGCUCACGCUGAGAAUCGGGCCCCGGAACCCCAGCUUCGGCUCUCGGCACCCAGAGGUGCGGGACGCAGCCCUGUCUUCUCCUCCUUUCCCAGCUCCUUCUGCACUUCGGAAGCACGGGGCUGGAUCUUAACACCCCCCUCCCUCGGCCUUUCAGGAGCCCAAAGUUCCGAUUCUGUCUGUCCCCUGGAUGGGGAGGGGUCAGUAAUUCUGAAUUCCUUCCAUUCUCAUUCCCAAACCCAGGACACCUAACCCUAAGCGCUUCCCCUCCUAAAGGACCUCCACGUACCAGAUUCCAGCCUCCAACUAGGGCACCUACGAGUCCCCAUCUCUCUACUCCCGCAGACCCAGCCCCUCCUCCCUCAGACUCAGGAGUCCAGGCCCAGCUCCUCCUCCCUCAGACCCAGGAGUCCAGGCCCUCAGCCCCUCCUCCCUCGGACCCAGGAGUCCAGACCCCCCAGCCCCUCCUGCCUCGGACCCGGGAGUCCAGACCCCCAGCCCCUCCUCCCUCAGACCCCGGAGUCCAGGUCCCCUUCCCCACUCUUCCAGACGUAUGACCUCCACAGUCCAGGUCCUCAGCCCUCUCCUCUGCAGAACCCCAAGAAUCCUGGCCCAGCCCCAGUCUUUCUAGGGACCCAGACAUUCUGAGACCCAGCCCAUUCCUCUCUCUGGCCAUAAAGACCCUAGACUGUUGCUUAUGCCCUCUGGGGUCCCCACAACCUCACCUCAGGCAGCCAGUGGCGACUGCGGCUGAAGCAAAGACGACAGCGGCAGCUGGAAGGGUCUGAGGGCUGGGUGGGGUUGGAGGGCUGGGGAGCCAGCGCGGGCGGGACGGGGGCGGGGCCGGGGCGGGGCGCAGCUCCGGCUAGGGCGGUGGACAGGGACUUCCCCGAGUCUGGGCUAUCCCAGCCCCGCCCCGAGGCGGGGCCAAGAGCAGACCACGCCCCCCAGAGUAAAAGUAGCGUGGAGCUCCCGCCCCACCCCAGUGAGCAGGGUGGAGGGCUGAGGUCACGGUUGCCGUGGUGACAAAACAGGAAGACACAACAGCUGGCGGCGUGGAGACUCCUGGGGGCUGCCCUCCUCGACACAGCCCUAGAGGAGUCUCCCGGGUAGGCCAGGGAAGACCGUUACCAUAGAAACCCCGCAUGUUUAGGGUUUGUUUAGUGCAGAGCCCCCCAGCUCAGGUCCCCGCCCCCGUCUCACCUCACUCCUUUCUUCCGCUCCCUUCCUACCCCCUCCUUCCUGGUCUGUUCCGCCCCCACCCCUUCCUUGCCGGAUGAAACCUUAGACACCUGGGUCGCAGCGGAUUGGGGGACCAGGCCCCUCAGUUCAAUGGGGGGGCUAGGAUCUCUGUCUCUUGGAGCCCUGAGGGAGAGCAGAAUUGAGAGCAGUAUUCCUGGGCUUUAGGUGGUUCUGGGCUACGAUCCCUGACUGAUGGGUCUCCCCAAGAAACAGAGGCUAGAUUCCUGUAUUUAAGGACUUGAAGGGGCGGCAAAAUGCUCCCCUAGUACCCACUGGCACCGGGCGCCGCAGGGUAAGGGACUCGGGCUGGACGCAGGUCUCAGAUAUCACAGUGGAUAGGGGUGGGGUGUGUUGGGGGCAAAAUUCCUGGGAGCUAGCGCGGUAGCAGUUGGGGGCCCGGAUUCCUGGGCUCCACAGGAUGCCUAGGCUGAGGCCCAGAUUCUUGGCUCAAAAGAACAAUCAGGCCUGGGCGCGGUGGCUCACGCCUGUAAUCCCAGCAUUUCGGGAGGCUGAGGAGGGAGGAUCCCUUGAGCCCAGGAGUUCGAGACCAGCCUGGGCAACAUAAGGAGACUCUGCUCUAUUAAAAAUAAAUCAUCAUGAUCAUCAUAAUAGAACCAUUAAAGCUCAGACUCGGGUUUUCCGAGCAGGUGUUGCAAGCCUAGCCGCCUGGGUCUGGAAGGCAGCGAUAUUUUUGGCCUACAUUCCUGACUCCUGGAUGGAGGGAGGGACUCAGAAUUUUAAUGAGGAUGGGGCUGGGGCUGGGGCUUGGGGCUCUGGAUUCACGGAUCCUGCAAGAGGGGAAGGGAUCCAAGGGGCUGGUGGGCCCGAAGCCCCAGGGCAGGGAAGGGAUGCAGGGUGUGUUUUUAAAAGGCGGCUCUGCGGCCCUAAAACGGACUGCCGGAGCCAAAAGAAAAAGAGGGAGCUGAGGGUCG
rnacentral:lncRNA from 1 species